UAAGGAAUCUUCGGCAAUGGACGAAAGUCUGACCGAGCAACGCCGCGUGAGUGAAGAAGGUUUUCGGAUCGUAAAACUCUGUUGUUAGAGAAGAACAAGGACGUUAGUAACUGAACGUCCCCUGCCGGUAUCUAACCAGAAAGCCACGGCUAACUACGUGCCAGCAGCCGCGGUAAUACGUAGGUGGCAAGUGUUGUCCGGAUUUAUUGGGCGUAAAGCGAGCGCAGGCGGUUUCUUAAGUCUGAUGUGAAAGCCCCCGGCUCAACCGAGGAGCGUCAUAAGAAACUAGGAGAGUUGAGUGCAGAAGAGGAGGGUGGAAUUCAAGGUGUAGCGGUGAAAUGCGUAGAUAUAUGGAGGAACGCCAGUGGCGAAGGCGGCUCUCUGGUCUGUAACUGACGCUGAGGCUAGAAAGCGUGGGGAGCAAACAGG
rnacentral:rRNA from 1 species